rnacentral:rRNA from 1 species
GAUGAACGCUGGCGGCAUGCCUAAGACAUGCAAGUCGAACGAAGUGAGUUAAUGAAGAUAGAGUGCUUGCACAAAAUCGGAUUUAACUUCACUUAGUGGCAGACGGGUGAGUAACACGUGGGUAAUCUACCCCAAAGACUGGGACAACAGUUAGAAAUGACUGCUAAUACCGGAUAAUUCAUAUUUAGAUAACUAGAUAUGCUAAAAGGAGCUUUACAGCUUCACUUUGGGAUGAGCUUGCGGCGUAUUAGUUAGUUGGUGGGGUAAUGGCCUACCAAGGCAAUGAUGCGUAUCCGGGCUGAGAGGCUGAACGGACACAUUGGGACUGAGACACGGCCCAAACUCCUACGGGAGACAGCAGUUAGGAAUAUUCGUCAAUGGGGGAAACCCUGAACGAGCAAUGCCGCGUGAGUGAUGAAGGUCUUAU